rnacentral:lncRNA from 1 species
AUCACUUUGGUGGCUAUCAAAGAAAUAUAAAACAUCGAACAUCAUUUUGAAUAUGAGUGCCUCCGUAUUAUCAUCACUUCGCCCAGAGAUGAAUGGUCGAUGUAAAUCUUCACCAAUGAGAGAAUUGUAGAUUUUCAGCAAACCACGCUGUCUGUUCGAGAGCAAAGAUAUUCCUUCGGAGGUGCUGAAAGUAAAGUUGUACUCUGUAAAGAAGACGUGGGAGCAUCACAGAAGGGCAACUUAGGCACUCUGGAGUUACUAACAACACAAAGAGAAGCAAAGUUGCAAGAAGGAUGGAAGGGAAAGAUUCUGGUCAAGAGGAUACAAUGGAAUGACUGAAUUGUUAUUGGAUACUGUAAAGAUAAGAACUUUGAAAUUAUUCAGUAACAUUAGCAAAAAUGGUGGCUCUUUAUAGGUCUUGUUAUUGUACGAAGUCUUUAGUCUUUCAUGAAGAGUCAUGGAAUGGAUAAAUCUGGUUACCCGGUGAGUGAAUAGUUUUCAAUUAGCCGCCAUUUUUGGAUAGGGAUUGUUUUGCAGACCUUGAGCGAUAGUAUGAUUUACUUGAACUGCUGGCAAUAAUUCGAUGCAAUUUUUCUCUGACGAUCUCAUUUCAUCAAAAUAACCAAAAGUACAUGUAACAUCUGGAAAUUUAUUUAGACCUGGCUACAGAAAGUUGAAACUGAAAUCGCAGAAUUUUUAUGUAGGUACCCAUCGCUCAAUGUUUUUGUCUGCUUAACAGUUUGUACCACAGUUAAACCCCAGUUGAUGUUGCACAAAGGUGAUAUUUGUUAAGGUGGCACUCUAAGAACAGACCUGAAGAAAUUCAAACUAAAUAUUUUUGAAGAGUCAAAUUCGUCUUAAUAGUUACAUUUUUUAUAAAAAUAGAACUGAUGAACAAACUAUACUAUACUACUGACUGGUACGUUGCUCAAUGUUAAACCUUCAUUCCCCUCUUUUCAACGACUGACUGUGAGAAGUAACCUUGUUCACUAACCGUUAAAAAAAGACUCUGCAACAGAUGACAACAACUACCCGCACCUUACAAACGACUUCAAAUCCCUCCGGUAACCAACAGAACAAACCAACUUUAUCAACUGAUCAACUGCAAAUUUAGUUUGACAGUCACUUUUUACCUUACUGCAAAACUGAGUAAUCACUUUUACGAACCAAAGUUGUAAUAUUAAACUUACAAAGACACUACAAUUAACUCGAACGACGACUUUCGCUCAGGCCAGUCAACAGUUUCGACAGAUGUCGGCCAAAAACAUGAUAAUUUCUAACUGGACAUUUAUUCUUGAAAUGAACCGAAUCGGUGAGAACUUUUAAUUUGCUCUAAAAAGAAGCAGUUGAUAACAUUUAAGAAGGAAACAGUGCCAUGUUAUAACUCGUAUCUACUUCUUUGUGCAAUCAGCUGAGGUCGGUUUAGUGUAGAAGUUAUGUUUAAAACUGGAAUGCCAGGUCAAGAGCUUUUCUAAAAACUGAUUAAAUUGAUACUUACUGUUAUAUAAACCAGUUGAAAUUUAUGGGGAAAUAUAGUUUCAUAUUUCGAGUAGAUUUUAUUCGAUGGAAACGGACGAAGGAAAUUUAAUUCGCAAAUCGUUGAAAGCAGUUCACACUAAAAUGGACGCAAAUAUAGGAACCAAAUUUUUGACUAAUACACAAGAAUUGAACUAAUGGUGAGCGGUAAUUGUUAUUAAGGAGCAUGAGGGCCGGGUCGCAUUAAAAUUAAUAAAAUAGUUCCAUUUUUUCUAAAGUCAAUAAUUGGCAAAAAUUUCGCAUUUUCGAAAUUUUGGCGGCGGUCGCAUUAAACUAAUAUUUUUUGAGCAAAAUUUCACGUUAAUUGCAAACCCAUCUCGCUCUAAAAAGUGUUAAUAAAAAAUAUCUUGAGCAAAUCAGUACUACGCAGGAACGGAUUUCUUUUUUGGUGCUGAUCCUUUGAGCUCUUUUGCGUUUUCAUUUCACGCUUGCGCUAUUUUCGCUGGAAGGAGAAGUUCACGUUGAAGCCGUCUGUUUUUUUAAAUCGUUGCCAUCAAAUGGACCAAGGGUACAAGUAAGACAUUCGAAUAAAAACGGUGCUCAAACUCCUCUUUCCUUCGAAAGAAAAAGGGUCAGAUGGAAGAGGAAAAUCAUGCCAUCGAAGUAGAUUAGCCAGGAGUACUUUUCCUUACUGAAAUUUUAUCCAAACACGUCUUGUACAGCAUGACAGCUAAAUAGCUAAAAGAAAAAUAAGACAGGAUUUUUUGCUUUGCCAAAAUUGGAGGCCUCCGAGCCAGGAUCAGGUC